GGCAAGCGUUGUUCGGAAUUACUGGGCGUAAAGGGCGCGUAGGCGGGAUGGCAAGUCGGUCGUGAAAUCCUUCGGCUCAACCGAAGAACGUCGAUCGAUACUGCUGUUCUUGAGGGUUGCAGAGGAGACUGGAAUUCCCGGUGUAGCGGUGAAAUGUGUAGAGAUCGGGAGGAACACCGGUGGCGAAGGCGGGUCUCUGGGCAAUUCCUGACGCUGAGGCGCGAAAGCGUGGGGAGCAAACGGG
rnacentral:rRNA from 1 species